rnacentral:rRNA from 1 species
UACGUAGGGUGCAAGCGUUAAUCGGAAUUACUGGGCGUAAAGCGUGCGCAGGCGGUGAUGUAAGCCAGAUGUGAAAUCCCCGGGCUCAACCUGGGAACUGCAUUUGUGACUGCAUCGCUGGAGUGUGGCAGAGGGGGAUGGAAUUCCGCGUGUAGCAGUGAAAUGCGUAGAUAUGCGGAGGAACACCGAUGGCGAAGGCAAUCCCCUGGGCCUGCACUGACGCUCAAGCACGAAAGCGUGGGGAGCAAACAGG